AUUGAACGCUGGCGGCAGGCCUAACACAUGCAAGUCGAGUGGAUGAAGGGAGCUUGCUCCUGGAUUCAGCGGCGGACGGGUGAGUAAUGCCUAGGAAUCUGCCUGGUAGUGGGGGAUAACGUCCGGAAACGGGCGCUAAUACCGCAUACGUCCUGAGGGAGAAAGUGGGGGAUCUUCGGACCUCACGCUAUCAGAUGAGCCUAGGUCGGAUUAGCUAGUUGGUGGGGUAAAGGCCUACCAAGGCGACGAUCCGUAACUGGUCUGAGAGGAUGAUCAGUCACACUGGAACGGAGACACGGUCCAGACUCCUACGGGAGGCAGCAGUGGGGAAUAUUGGACAAUGGGCGAAAGCCUGAUCCAGCCAUGCCGCGUGUGUGAAGAAGGUCUUCGGAUUGUAAAGCACUUUAAGUUGGGAGGAAGGGCAGUAAGUUAAUACCUUGCUGUUUUGACGUUACCAACAGAAUAAGCACCGGCUAACUUCGUG
rnacentral:rRNA from 1 species